GGAGCUGGAGCGGCUAGAGGUGGAGAGGGUGGAGAUGAUCCGGCAACAUCUGUGCCAGUACACACAGCUGCGGCACGAGACAGACAUGUUCAACCAAAGUACAGUCGAACCUGUGGACCAACUGCUUCGGAAAGUGGACCCAGCCAAAGACAGGGAGCUGUGGGUCAGAGAGCACAAGACAGGCAACAUCCGCCCUGUGGACAUGGAGAUCUAGCUGGGCACAUGUGCCCGGGGGUCCUGCCGAGGACGGGCUGGGGGUCCCAGAGAGAGGAAGGGGCGGCUCCCGCUGUGAUGCCGAGUGGAGCUGUCCUCACACCCAUUCUCCUGGUCCACUGAGCUGGUGAUUCCAGAAGGGCGGCCUGCACGGCCCUCUGGGAGCUCCCCAGUGUUCCCGACUAGGAAGACAGGUCCACAGCCCUGCCCAUGUCUCUGAGGCUGAGGCCCCCAACUCCUGCGCUGUACUUGCCAUAAUGAGAACAGACUGACGCUCGAACUUUGUGGUCCCUGCCGAGCACCACAGGGGUCAUCUGCCCCCUGGAGCCAGCCGUGUCACACUUGUGCCCCUGGAAGCCCAUAGCCCUUCCUUCAGCUGCCCCCUUGUCUCCAGGGCUUCAAGGGUCAGGGGAAGGAGGUUUCUGUCUGCCAGCCAAUGUCAGGAUGAGAGUCGUGGAGAAAAGGCAGCCUUCUGUUCAACAGCCUGCACCCAGAAUCCUUUGCAGCCCUCCCUCUUUCUUCUUCCCAUUGCAUUCUGGGCUCCUGCGUCCUGGCCCUUCUCUGCUACUUUGCAUCAUCGGGUAUCUUGGGAGGAAGGCCUGUCUUCCCAGACUGACCCUGCCUGGGGAGGUCAGGAUGGAACUACCUCAUUCAGCAAAUUAGCCCCAAGUUGGAGCAUUGAAUUGUGUUACCUAUUCGACCAGGCAUCCUCUGUAACAUCUCCUCUCUGGAAACCCCCGGUCUACCCAACUCUCUGCUGCUUCCUCCCACCUCUGCCCCCUACCAGGCUCUUAGUGGGGCUAGGGGCUGCGUCAGUCCCUUGUGGGAGACAGGUUGGGGCAAGUCUUUGUCAUUCCCCUAAAUGGCUCCACCUGCUGUUGUGUGCGUGGGGUGGAGGGCGGUUGAGACCGCUCUGUAUGGCGCUGUCUCACCGGCAGGCACUGUACAGGCAGUGUCACACUGCCUUGGCAACUCCGGCACGUUCCAGAGUCCUGCAUGGAGCCUGCUUGGUGCUGAUGCCACCUUCCCCUUUGCCCUCCUCGCCGUUCCUGGGAAGGCCUGGCCUGAGUGUGACUUGGGAAGCAUUUAGCCCUACCCCUGGGUCCUCACUCAUCACUUUGUCCUUUUAUACAACCAGAGCAGACACAUUCUCCACCGUUGUUAAAUCUUGAGAAUCAGCUUAAGGGGACUGAAGAAGAAAAAGGCCCUGAAGGAGUUCAUACAGCUCGUAAGGGGCAGAUUCUAGCUGGAACCCACACCCCGAGAACCCAUUUUCUUAGUUAAUCUUUCCCAUUGAUUACUUUGGGUUUAUGGGACCUACACAUCUCCCACAAGGUCAUAAUUCUAAGAGCGCAGCCACUGGUCUUUCUCUCACUCUGGGAACUGAUUAUUCAUCUUGAAUCUCUUGACCUUUCACUGAGUCAGAAUGGCUGUCAUAGUUUAUAGUAGAAAAAUACUGAAUAUUCUAAAGCAAACUGAACAUUGUCACUUUUCUUACUGAAACACCCACCCAAAAAGGUCAGCGUGAAGGCUGUUGGGAUGGAUCUGUUCCUGGCCUGGAGAACCAAUCCUUCUGGAACUAGGGUUAGGCCGUGACACCAGCUACUGAUUUUAGGGUAUUACUUCUUGGCUUUGUGGUAAAACUGGGCACUAGUAGUAGUUGCUUUGGGGCUUUAGUAAACUAACUUGUGGAUGAUUUUCAGACAUUGAGAGCCAACAGCCUUGUUACCAACACAGAUACUCUGAGUGUGGUGUGGCUCAUGGAGUCUGUUCCCUUACCUCCACCAGAGGAUUCCAGUCGCCUGCUUCUCCCUGGGACAGAGGGAGCUCUCUUGUCUCUUCCAGAGUAGCCCAAGUUGGACCAGUGUGAACAAGUCUAUUUUCUGAAGUCAUUCUUGCCCCCCCUGAGACCUUCACCUCAGUCUCAUUCACCUCUUCACCUGCUUUUUUUCUCUUCGUUUAUUCAUUCAUCAAGCAUUUAGCUAAGGCCGAGCGAUGCGCUAAAAUCUGGGAACAAGAUGAGGCCCUGUUGUCAGGGAAGCCCAUGGUCUCUUACUUUGUUUCUGUCAGGGGUCUUGCAGGUCGGUAACCUUGGCAUUCACCUACAGGUACUCUGCAGGAUUUAUGUUUUCAGAGAUACUGUGUGUCAUGCUGAUGUGCAUUCAAUCAUUCACUCAUUCGUUUGCUUAUUCAGCAGAUACGUGGGAUAAGCCAGGCAUAUGUAGCUGCAUAUGAGACAGGCAAUCUCCCGGGGCCCCACUAUUCUCCAUGUAGACGGGGAUGUUUAGACUUUCCUGGAGAGCGAGGAUAUCGCACCCCUUGCACAUGUCACCCGCUGGGAGCCUGUAAUGACAAUUUAAAUGGCCUUGUCGCAUUUACCCACUGGGUGGAAGGUAAGACAGCAAGAGUUUAAUCACCCAGUCACUAAACCCUCACAGCCUGCAUCCGACUCUAAAUAACUCUCCUUGCUUUAUAAAGAGGAAGAGUGAAGCCCAAGGGUGGCCAGUGAGUACUGUGGAAUGAACACCCUGAAUGGGGUGCAGGGCUGGAGUGGAGAGUCCAGGCCUCCUGUUCUUAUUCAUGGCUCCCCUUCUGGGUGAAAUCAAGAUAAAGAUGAAUAUCUAAAAGUGUACUUCAGAUCUGCCCUCCACCCAGGUUGUUGUUUUUUUUCUUUAGAUUUUGGUGUUUGUAAGAGAAUUUGGCUGGAUUUACUCAGAGUGAGGCUAGGUGAUUCUUGAGCACAUGCAAGUGGCUGUUUCUGAAAACAGGUGAGCCCUUUCCACCAGCUGCCUCUACCUGGAAGACAUGGAUGCACUUAAUUUUGUCUGUGAAAACCUGAUUUUUUUGAAAUAUUAGCUGUAAGAUGAAUAGUGUUCAUAGUGGGUUGGUAGCUAUGACAACCUUCAGGGAAAGCCUCUUAUUCCGCUCCAUUUUUUUCAAUUGCUUUUCAUCAGCGUUGCAAAGCACUGGCCAUCUGAGCUGUAGGGACAGCUGUGCUGAGGGUCUGCUGUGGCCACCUUGGGCCUCCUGACUAUGUCCACCCAGUGCCUGUUGGCUGGGGGAGGAUUUCUGCCAGGGGAGGCACUUCUCAUCAGGGCUGGUUAAUGAGUGAAGCCAACAGAAAGAGUGCCUACAUUCAUGAACCAGGGGUUUGUUUCUAUUCCCUUUGUGAAAACCAAUCAAUUAUUAGAUUAGUGGAUGGGUGCAUAAAAUUCUUGGCUGAGCCCAAGUUCCUUCUUGGAAAAGCCAUAAAAUUCAAAGGAUGUCAAAGACCUUGGCUUAUUUAAGUGCUUUUACUUCCAGCUGUGAGUGGCCUUGAGAAGGAGAGUUUAAACAGGAUUCUGCAAACCUGCUGGCUUUAUGUAGGUAUGGAAAGCUCUUCAGGAAUGUUAAGUGGGGCACCUUUCACAGCCUGCUUACUUACACACCAUCCAAUUCCCAUAAUCCUUCCCACCCCUACAAGCUGAUUGCCUCCCCCCCACCCCAGGUUUAUUGAAGUAUUUGACAUAUAGUACUGGGGGUUAUGGACAAACAGUAAAAUUUACCCUUUCAAGUGUAUGGCUCAGUGAAUUUUGAUGAGCAUGUAACCACCAAAGUCAACAUAAUAUUUCCAUCUCUCCAGAACAUUCCCUCAGGCUACACUGUAGUCAAUCCGCUCCUCCCAUCCCCAGCCCCUGGCAACCACUGAUUGUUCUCUGCCCCCAUUGUUUUUGCCUUUUCUAGAAUGUUAUGUAAAUGGGCUCACAAUGGUGUAGUCUUUGAGUCUGGCUUCUCUCGGCUUGCUGUUUUUGAGUCACCCAUGUUGUGUGUGUCAGUAGUUCAGUCCCUCGCAUUGCCAAGAGUGCCCCAUUGCAUGGGUGUAUCCCGCUGCUUCCUUGCUUUUAAAGUGAGCAGUUUGCUCCGGAAGUUCCUGACCCGGGGUCGUUAGCUUUUUUGCACAGCUAUUUCCAGCCUGCUGCUGCUUUCGGCUCCCAAGCUGCCACCUCCAAAUGCCAGCUGUGCCCACGAGUGGGUCUUGGGCUCACACUUGCCUUUUUUGGUCCAUUUUAGGGUUUUGGCAAUGCAGAGAGCUGCCGGGGAUUGUAGGGAGGGACAAGUGGGGUCUCAGUUGCCUCCCACUUCUGUGCCCUGAUGCCUGAAGCUUGUGUCUGACCAGCAGGCACGGCCUCCUGGGGGCCUUCACUUCAGUGUGGAAGGGCUUUGGCACUUAUCGAGCAUUAGUGGGUGUGGAAGGUGGGUGGGUCUAGUGUGGAUGAGAAAGCAGGGGGCUGGCCGUGGGCCCAUUACCACCCUUUCUUAGUUCUCUGCUGCUUCAUCUGCAAACAAAGUAUUUGUUCUAGGUGGUCGCUUGGGCCUCCUCCAGCUACUCCAUUUACUCCCCAUCUCAUUUCCAGUUUUGUGCCCUAUGCACAGGGUCAUGCCUAAUCUGGGUCUCAUCAGCACAGCAGGGCAUGGUAUAGUCUAGUGUCCUCGGGAGAGGGAUACCCUGGUACUUCUCUGCUUAGAUGCAAAUGGAGCUCUUACUAAGAGUCUCAGAACUGAGCUGCCGAGAGGAGGAGGUAGUUCCUCCCAGGACCCCUAAAGCAAGCAUAACAGUUGUUAUCCUUUGGGUCUUGUCCAUGGAUCUUUGAAGUCCACUUCCAAGGAUCCCGGAUAGGCAUGGAGUCAGAGCUGCCUCCAUUGCUGGCGCCUGGCUCUGCUGGAGGUCACACCAAGCCUGGCCUCUCCCUGCCAGCAUCCCGCUGUGUGGGGCUGGUGGUAGCAGAGAGAGGACCAACCUCAAGCAGGGCAGGCUGGGCAUGAUCCCAAGGUAAGGACCAUGUGUGAUCGUGCCCUGCUCUGUGACAGGUGAGCCCUGGAAGGCAGCUAGGUACCUCUCCAGGUGGGCCCAAUGCGCGCGCAUGUCCGCAGAAUCCCACACCGCCAGGGUGGCUCUGGGCUGGGUUUUCCCAGGAAGGACUCUGUGUCCCCACCCCCCAUGGAAGUGUUAUUUCUGUUGGGCCUUUGCUGAACAUGAGGGACCCAACUCCUGUUGCCGUAGCUUUGGGUUAGAAGGUGGGUGACAGAAACCAGUGUUCCAUGUUCCGUAACCCUUGAUUCUGGGGUGUGGCUCCAUUCCAAGCCUUUGCUGGGAGAUGCCUCUGAGGGAGAGGGGUUGUGAGGACCUUCGGAUUUUUCCGUGCACUGUUCGGGGGACACUGACCCUUUCUGCUUGAGGGGAAUUCCUAAUGGGAUUGCAGUGGUGGAAUGCAAGGGGUCCGGGCACAUGGGUGCUCUAAUGGGGAUGAUGUGACAUGGGGACAGGGAGGGAAAGCAUAUGGUUCCAGGGCAAGAGCACUGGACUGGCCCUGCUCCUUUGUCUCAUUUGUCCCAUAACCUCAAGUUGUCACAACCCCUCCCAGGACCCCUGUGUACUCACCUGUCAAGUGGGGACAUGCCCCUUCCAGCAUCACAUACAGAGACUGGUUCUCAGGAGCUGUGGCAUCCAUGCAGCCCUGUGGACCCAGGGACAGACCUUCAAAGGGACAUCAGCUAUCCUUGGUGACGGAGGCCCCAAACUUGUAUCUCUUUCCUUCCCUUAGGGAGGAGAUAGCGGUAGGGUGGGGGGCAACUCUUUCACAGACAUGAGCACAUCAGCAAACCCUAUGGAAGUGGAAUUUUCUAACAGAAUAAACUUGCUUAUUUGGUCUGUUUUCUGUAACUUUUGCUAAAUACUUUAUACAUUUUUAAUGUUAAAAAGCUGUGUCUCCUGCCAGCAUUCCUCAUCCCGGUAUGAAUGUGUUUACUCCACAUUGUAUAUCCUUCCAUCCUCUGGCUGCCUAGAUCAGUAAAUAAAAUUGAUGUAUUAUAAUUUAUAAGUAACACUGUUGAAACUCUGAUCCCUCUGGGGGCUGUAAUCUGCCCUUCUCCACCCCGCUGUAAUAGCAUUUGUGUGUAUUAAUGCUGAAGAAUUAAAUGUUUAAAGGGUUUAAAUUUUGAAGGCGUUUGCUAUAUAUAAUUGUUCUGCAUUAUUAUAAAGCAUUUUCAGGAA